UGCAGGCCCAAGUCCAUUGCUUGACUGUUCUAAGCCUGCGUGGCCCAACACUGAUGAUAAAUAUAUCUGAACGCUUUGUUUUGGUCACCAUUUCCCAGGGGGAGGGAAAUCAGUGGCUGUUGCUGGAACAAUCACAGUUGUUCUCCUGGUUAUCGUGUUCCUCUCUGUCCUCGUGUGGAUCAGACAAAAGAGGGCUUCCAAUGAACCGUCUGAGGCUGAAGAGAGACAAGAACACACGGAGCAGGGACAACCAGAGGAGCAGGAAGACCUUCAGUAUGCCAGCAUACACUUCUCUAAAACCCAGGAGCCUCUGUACAGCAAUACCAGACCAGCUCGGCCCCCAAGAAGAACGGAGCAGCAGGACGUCACUGAGUACACUGCCGUCAAAUUUACCAGGAACAGCACCGCCAUGAGAACCAGAAGUAAAGAACCUGAAGAGGAUCCAGCUGCUCUGUACAGCACCGUCAACAAAAGCCGAUGACCUCGACAGGCACUGUGUUCACACUCUGUUUUAGAUUUCAUAUAUUUGAAUGUAUGCAGGUUGCUUCUGAUUUUACAACACAUGUCUUAUGAACUGCUCCUUAAAGAUUAUACCUUUGUAAUGAUUUUAACGGCCUGAUAAAUGUAACAUAAAGCAGCCUCGCUUUUUACCUCCAAUCUGUCAAAUCUACCACACAUGGGAAGUAUUUCAUGACUUAGACUGGGUGGUAUGUAGGGAUGUGCACCACUGACAAAGGUUGGUUUGCAAAGGAGAGGGAGUGCUUUCUGAUGGGGCCCCCUUUAGGGAGGUAUCCUACUGUCAUUGCAAAAUUUGCACAUUUUGAGCCACCGCUGUGGUUUUUUGUCAGCCCUUGGGGGACCCCUACUGGCCUGGGGGCCCAAUCAGCUGCCUGCCUUGCAUGUUGACAAACAGCUCCUCUGAAUACCGUCGACAAAGACGCUCUUGGACUGAUAAAUAAAAGUCUUUGCAAGUAUUCAUGUACCUUUUUAUAUUAAAUAUAUAAUUUAUAUUUAUCGUGUGACUCUUCAAAUAGUCUUUGUGUAGAUAUUAUUGCUAACUAGAUCUUUGUGUAGUUGUUGUUUUGUCAUCAGAGUCCGUAAAACAUAAUCUACAACUCUAUUGUAUUCUCAUAAUCCAUCAGUGUGUGGAUCACACUGUAUGUUUGAUUCUUAACUGUUUGUUACUUUUAUCUCACAUGUACCACAACAUGUAACACACAGUGAGCCUGUGCCUCACAGGAGUGUUGACAUUGGCUGAAUUUCUUUUCUGUAAUCUCUUGAACUUCCUCUUUUGCUCACUAUCCGUCUGCGCCUCUUUUGUCUGAGUUGUGUGAUUCCCUGUUUGAGUUCACUGACUGAAUACAAACAGAAACAUUUCAUUUAAAACACUUUGAAAUAAAGCACUGAUAUUUCUCAGGCUGUGUGAAAUGACACCA